AUUGAACGCUGGCGGCAGGCCUUACACAUGCAAGUCGAACGAGUGGCGGACGGGUGAGUAAUGUCUGGGAAACUGCCUGAUGGAGGGGGAUAACUACUCGAAACGGUAGCUAAUACCGCAUACCAUCAGAUGGGCCCAGAUGGGAUUAGCUAGUUGGUGGGGUAACGGCUCACCAAGGCGACGGUCCCUAGCUGGUCUGAGAGGAUGACCAGCCACACUGGAACUGAGACACGGUCCAGACUCCUACGGGAGGCAGCAGUGGGGAAUAUUGCACAAUGGGCGCAAGCCUGAUGCAGCCAUGCCGCGUGUAUGAAGAAGGCCUUCGGGUUGUAAAGUACUUUUGGCAGGGAGGCGGUACCCGCAGAAGAAGCACCGGCUAACUCCGUGCCAGCAGCCGCGGUAAUUC
rnacentral:rRNA from 1 species